rnacentral:tRNA from 1 species
CGGGGUGUAGCUCAGCUUGGAUUAGAGCGCCUGGUUUGGGUCCAGGAGGCCGAAGGUUCGAAUCCUUUCACCCCGA